ensembl:lncRNA
UUGGUUUCCAUAGUGAAUGUAGGACAAUAAAGAACAUCACAUUUAUUAAAAGUGGCAUAAUACAUUAUUAUUCCUCAUGCAAGGCUGGUCAAGCAUGAAUUAGCGCAAAUUAUUUUCUGCAUCAAAUAAAAGGUAUAAUGAAAUCGAAAUAAUAAAAUGUAUAAAAUAAAUAUAUAAAUUGGAACAAGAUCAUUAUCAUGUUUGACAUUAGUUAAAAUGCUGAAGAAUAUUACUAUUUUAAGUGCAAUACAUUUUCAUAUUGCAAAUCAUUUUCAAAUUGAUUUUCAAAUAUGUUUUGAAAUAAGGUUGUAACUCAUUCAUUUUUCUAUUUUCCAGGAUUAUAAAAAUACUUAAUGCAGUGUAAAAACUGCAAAUUCAGCAGUUCGAGUGAAGAGGUCCUUCUAAAGCACUAUCGGCUGCAUCACCCAAGCAUUUCCAGCUGGCCUUGUAUUCAUACGGGGUGUGUUUGUGUCUUCAGGACAGCAGGCUUAGAGACCGAGUCCUUGUGACCCUGAGGACAUACCUGCACCAUUAAACUUGCCUGAUGGCUUUACUACUGCGA